AAUGUUCUUCAUGUCAUCCGAUCUGUUAACGACUCAUUGCCUCUUUCUAUGCUUUCUGUCUAUCGUGGAUACGCUUGUUCCUAGUCUAGUUCCAAAUUAUACUAUCUAGCAUGCUUGGUGUAAUCAUGGUGGUUAAUAGUAUGUCAAUCCUUCAUGGUAGUUAGACAUGUUCACCUAUGUUCGUGUCCUUAAACUGCUGUGCCGAUAGGGGGGAUCGUGACGGG
rnacentral:lncRNA from 1 species